GGCUGGUCUGAGUGCAAUGGUGUUUAAACUAACUGAUCGCAAUGUUAUGGAUUUCUUUGUUCCUCCUCCACUCUCAUUGCUUCACUUGACUAGCCUUCA
rnacentral:Y_RNA from 2 species